GGAUGUGAGGGCGAUCUGGCUGCGACAUCUGUCACCCCAUUGAUCGCCAGGGUUGAUUCGGCUGAUCUGGCUGGCUAGGCGGGUGUCCCCUUCCUCCCUCACCGCUCCAUGUGCGUCCCUCCCGAAGCUGCGCGCUCGGUCGAAGAGGACGACCAUCCCCGAUAGAGGAGGACCGGUCUUCGGUCAAGGGUAUACGAGUAGCUGCGCUCCCCUGCUAGAACCUCCAAACAAGCUCUCAAGGUCCAUUUGUAGGAGAACGUAGGGUAGUCAAGCUUCCAAGACUCCAGACACAUCCAAAUGAGGCGCUGCAUGUGGCAGUCUGCCUUCCUUU
rnacentral:snRNA from 1 species